GGGCCUUGGUCCUGUCGGUGUAGGCCCCACCAACCCCCGGCUACCCCUCGCCCGACGUCCAGGCAGUCUCGUUCCGAGUUGGGCCCCACGGUAUUUCUGGUGGACACGAUCGGCCCACACGCGGGCCCUGCCAGCCUCUGCGCUCCAUGCAGCUGCGAGGGCUCGGGCCUGCCCACCACUGGCGCGGGAGGCGCUCCAGGGCCCGCUCUCCAAUGGCGUCGGCGCCGGCCCUCGGGGUCCACGCCGCGGAGCCGGGCAGCCCUGGGUGUCUGCGGCGCCCUCGCCACCUCCGGGCACGGCCAGCCCGCACGGGCUGGGGGCUGGCGUCGGGUAAGCGCGGGCGCAGGGCCCGGGAGGCGGAGCAGACCAAGGCGCGCCUCCAGCACCCCGGGGACGCGGCGCCUCAGGCGGGGCCCCCGCGGAAGCCAGCGAGGCUGCGCAGCGCCGGUCGGCCCGGCGCCACCGCACUGGGCAUGCGCCGGCCCGCGAGCGCCCCGCCCCCGAACGCCCGCGGCCCCCGCUUCCGGUGCGCCCUCCCGGGUUCCGCUCCUCCUAGGCCCCGCCCCGCGCGCUAGGCCCUGCCCCUCUGCCCCGGAGCGUCCGCAGGCUGGCCCCGCCCCGACGCUGGGAGGGCCCACGCCCCGCCCACUGCCCCGCCCACCUCCCCGCCCACGCUCGGGCAGCGCGCGCUCCUGUGUCGCAGCUCGCGGUACUCGCGGUCCGCGCCUUUUGCAACUUGGUGAGUGUGUGAGUUGCUUUCCUCACGGCACAGUGGGGCUGUGCCCGGGGACAGCGGGCGUCUGGAGCCCACGGGACAGGCACAGUCCUGAGUGGUCCCACAGCGCCCCUGCCCCGACCCCUUUCCUCUCAGGCCCCAGGCGUGACCCACGUGUGACCCUGGUGGCUCCAGCCUUAUGUGGUUGGGGUGCGCAGACCCAGUGGCCUCUUGGCGGCGACGGCUGGCUGGGGGUCGUGGCCGCGCCCCCACGCCUCCAGGUGCCCAGCACCUUCGCUGCUCUGCCCGGCCCAGUGCCCUCCUGA
rnacentral:lncRNA from 1 species